CCUACGGGUGGCAGCAGUGGGGAAUAUUGGGCAAUGGGCGCAAGCCUGACCCAGCAACGCCGCGUGAAGGAAGAAGGCUUUCGGGUUGUAAACUUCUUUUGUCAGGGAAGAGUAGAAGACGGUACCUGACGAAUAAGCCACGGCUCACUACGUGCCAGCAGCCGCGGUAAUACGUAGGUGGCAAGCGUUGUCCGGUUUUACUGGGUGUAAAGGGCGUGUAGCCGGGUUGACAAGUCAGAUGUGAAAUCCUGCGGCUUAACCGGAGAACUGCGUUUGAAACUGUUGAUCUUGAGUACUGGAGAGGCAGACGGAAUUCCUAGUGUAGCGGUGAAAUGCGUAGAUAUUAGGAGGAACACCAGUGGCGAAGGCGGUCUGCUGGACAGCAACUGACGGUGAGGCGCGAAAGCGUGGGGAGCAAACAGGAUUAGAUACCCCAGUAGUC
rnacentral:rRNA from 1 species